rnacentral:rRNA from 1 species
UACGAAGGUGGCAAGCGUUGUUCGGAUUUACUGGGCGUAAAGCGCGCGUAGGCGGACCUGCAAGUCGGGGGUGAAAGCCCGAGGCUCAACCUCGGAACUGCCUUCGAUACUGCGGGUCUCGAGUCCGGGAGAGGUGAGUCGGAAUUCCUAGUGUAGAGGUGAAAUGCGCAGAUAUCGGGAGGAACACCUAUGGCGAAGGCAGCUCGCUGGGACGUUACUGACGCUGAGACGCGAAAGCGUGGGGAGCAAACAGG